GCUUUGGUAGCUCAGUCGGUAGAGCAAGGGACUGAAAAUCCCUGUGUCGGUGGUUCAAUUCCGCCCCAAAGCACCA
rnacentral:tRNA from 1 species